rnacentral:rRNA from 1 species
UUUGCCUACGGGGGGCAGCAGUGAGGAAUAUUGGUCAAUGGCCGAGAGGCUGAACCAGCCAAGUCGCGUGAGGGAUGACGGCCCUACGGGUUGUAAACCUCUUUUGUCGGGGAGCAAGACCCGCCUCGUGCAGGCGGAGCGAGAGUACCCGAAGAAAAAGCAUCGGCUAACUCCGUGCCAGCAGCCGCGGUAAUACGUAGGUGGCAAGCGUUGUCCGGAUUUAUUGGGCGUAAAGCGAGUGCAGGCGGUUCAAUAA